AAAAGUGAACAAGGGCACAUGGGGGAUGCCUAGGCUCUGGAAGGCGAAGAAGGACGUGAUAAGCUGCGAAA
rnacentral:rRNA from 1 species